UACGUAGGCAGCGAGCGUUGUUCGGAGUUACUGGGCGUAAAGCGUGCGUAGGCGGUGUCUUAAGUUUGUUGUGAAAUCUCCCGGCUUAACCGGGAGGGUGCGGCGAAUACUGAGAUGCUGGAGUGCCGGAGAGGUAAGCGGAAUUCCUGGUGUAGCGGUGAAAUGCGUAGAUAUCGGGAGGAACACCUGCGGUGUAGACGGCUUACUGGACCGUAACUGACGCUGAGGCACGAAAGCGUGGGGAGCAAACAGG
rnacentral:rRNA from 1 species